UCCAUUUCAUUGAUUUAGUUCAUUAACCCCAGCUAGAACCCACGGAAACCCCCCCAACAAAGGUAAGAAAUUCAACUUACAUAAAGGUUCUCAAAACAGCAAACUGUAGUUGAAUUCCCUCUUUUGCUAAGGUAUCCGCUCUCUAGUUUACCUCUCUUCUUACAUGUUGAAUCUCCCACCCCUCAACUUCUCUUUUCAAUAUUUCUGUUUGCAAGAUUAGCUUUCUCAUUCUCCAUAGUGCCACAUCAAGAUGCUUAGUCCAUUUAACCGCCCUGUUGAAAUCGUUUUCGAUGAGAAGCUUGUGGUUACCCUUCCAUCUUGAAACUAAGAAUAUCAAAAAGGCUUGCUUAACAGCCAUCAUCUCAGCAAAAUUAGAAUCAAUCUCACCAAUCGCUUUAGAGAAAAUAAUUUUGACUUCUCCUCUAUGGUCCCUUAAUAUUCCCUUAAUCCUUGUCGAUCCCGAACAGCCUCGAGCUGCUCCGUCCACGUUAAAC
rnacentral:lncRNA from 1 species